UGAGUAAUGAGUAUAUAUAAUAUACAAUAACAAUAAUAUAAACAACAGUAAAUUUUAAUGAAAGAAAAAUUUAAGUUUACAAUGUCAUUUAAAGUACGUAAUUUUAACGGACCUGUACAUGAAAUAUUCAGUUUAGAAAUAGUAGGUUAGAGCCUGAUCUUGUUUGCUUAAAAGGAAUAUUAAGAGCUUUGUUAUGAAAGAUAUUAUAGUUGGAUUAUGUGUGCUUUAAAAUUGGAAGGCACAAUAUAUUUAUGCAAAUUUGACACAGAAAUAAAAAGAAAGUGAAUCGACAAAAAGCGAUUUUCUUAAACAUUGAGAGAAUUGGGGUUACAAAUUUGAGCAAUAUAUGGUAGCACCUAAAAUAAAUUAUAAACAGAUAAACAAAUCAUUAUUCCACUGCACAUUUUAUCUUUAAUAACGUAAAAAAUUGUUUAUUAUAAACUUUAUUUAAUAUUAAGUUACACCAUUCACGGAUCCUGACAUUUCAAAAUGUGUGAACCAAAAUGAAGAAUUUUCUUGUAUAUUUAAGUCAAAAUUUAGUUAAAAUAUCUUGCUUUAUGUAGCUGAAGCAGAUGGAAUCUGUUCUCAAGUAGAUAGUGGUGAAGGAACUUGAAUUAAUAGUAUUAAAAACCAUUUAUCAUAAGGCACUUUCUAAUGGGCUACCAAAUAGCAGCUUUAAAAUGUUGAGUUGGUGAGCUCAGUGUUAUCCUGUAGGUAUUAAAAAUAUCAUAUAUCCAUGUGGUAAAGAUAGGUGGUAAAAAUAAGGAAGGUAUUGUUACAAAAAUAGAAGAAUUGAAGAGAAGUACAUUAGAACAUUGUAUCAUGGUAAUCAGGACAAUUUUAAUAAUUUAACAACAUCAUGUUAUUUUAGAUCUCCAUUCGUUGCUUUCUAUAGGGUCAACAAAAAGAGGUAUUUACUUUGUAUUGUAUUUUUAGAAAAAAUAAAAGAAAUUGUUUGCGAGGAGCAAGAUAAGUAUUUAUAUAAAUUUACAUAUGAUCCAAAACGAAAUACAGUUGCUGUUUUUAAACAGAAUCCUAAUAAAUCAGAAUAUACAUUUUUA